UCUCUGAGGCACUGCGAAUCGAGGAACC
rnacentral:piRNA from 1 species